AAAAAAAAAAACGCAUAAGCUGAUCGAACCCUUUCUCUUUCAUCUGAGAAUGCGAUCUCUAUUCUUCUCCCAACCAAAGCAAGCGACCGAACAUUACAUCCACCACCACACCACCGCUGGUGAGCCGCGACCACUCUCCUCCUUCUCCAUCCAUCACCGCUGCAUACUCCUCCAUCUUCUGUUUCGAUUCUUCAGUUUAGAGACAUCUCUCUCCACAACAAACCCUAAUUGUUGUAACUUGUAAGUUAAUGUGAAAUUGAAUGUAAUUGUCUUCAAUUCUGAUUCUGAUUUGAUGAUUACAUAUGUUUUUUAGUUGAUUGCAAUGAUUUUUCCUUCCAUCUGUUGUUUUUAGGGUUAUUUGCAGUGGGAUUGUGUUGUUUUUAGUGUUAUUAAAAUUACUCAUUCUUUUCUAUCAAAUUGAUGCCAUAAGCUUGUAAUAUCCAGCGAUGCAAAGUGAUAACAGUACUACAUUGUUUUCUCAUCUAAAUUUGUUAACAAAUAACAACUGAAGACUAUUUUAUUGUUUCAAUUUGUUUUUCAUGCUAUCUGAUGCAAAACUUUUUUCUUAAAAGAGAAUAAUAAGCAGAAAGCAAUGGAAACUAUAGUAGUUCUAAAACAAUGAAACAAAGAUGUGUUAGGCUACUGUGACAGUAGAACCUGUGAUAAUAUUUUACAUAAUUUUUUAUAAUGAACUUGUGACAAUAAAACAAUGAAACUGUAUUACUUUUUUUCUUUGCAUAAUUUACAUAAUAUUUGAUGUAAUUAGAUGUGUUAGGAUACUGUGACAGUAGAACCUGUGAUAAUAUAUAUUUUGUUAAUUUCUUUUGUUAAUUUCACUCGGAAAGCGUAAAGUGCAUCUAUAGGUAUGUUAGUUUAUAUAUUAUGUAGUUUAAAUUUUGAACGAUUCGUUUUUGGUUUAUUACGACUUAAAUGUAUUGUAUGCAUUAUGAUUUAUAUAUUUUGGUUUAUUUCGAACCUCAGAAGCCAUUCAAAAAUCUCAAGAGCUUCAACAGCAUUGAACCCAUUCAAAAAUCUGGUGCUUAAGUCUUCUUCCAAAUCUCACCACCGUAAGUCUUCUUCCUAGUCUCUCAAUUCAAUUUGGUUUGUUUUUGUGGUGUUUUUAUUUCUUAAAUUUCAAUUUUGUUAGUGCUGAGCUAUUAGGAUUGUGUAUUUGAUCAUCAAUUUUACCAAUUUUGAUUUUGUAGAAUUUUGAUUUUUCUUGAUACUUUAGUAUUAGGUACUUCAUUGUUAAUUCAAUUCUCUUUUUUGUGUAAAAUAUUAAGCUAUGGUUAGUGUUUAGUUGAUGGGUUCCUUUAUUUUUAAUUAAUUAAUAUAAGUGUUUAGUGAGUAUUUGGAUUUAACAUUUAUUGAUAGCUAUAAUUUUUAGUGAGUUUUGUUGAAGACUAGUGAAAUUUUGAAAAUUAACUCUACUAGUAGUGUACAAAGAUGUUUGUUCAGUUUAUUUUCAAUUUCUACUUCAUUUUCAGUUUAAGCAGUAUUUUCAUGGUCUCUGAUCCAAUAUAUGGAUUCUCAAUAGUGAUAUAUAUGACUGAUAUAUGCUUCUGAUCCCAACAAAGGUAUUAUAUCAUUUGCCAAGGAUAACUUGGCUAAGAUACCCCAUACUGAGUGGAGAAAUAACUAAAUCACUCAUACUCCCUUCCUAGAAAGUGUUUUUUUGUUAAGAAUAUCUAAACAAACAACUCGGUACACUUUUUAGAAAUAUUAUCAUAAUCAAAGCUAAUAUUAAUUGACAUGAAUUUUUCCAAAUAAACACUUAGAAAGGUAAAUCUCUGCAUAGAGAAAAAUUCAUGCAAAUUUCAAACACAUAUUUUAAAGUAGGAUUACUAGAAAGUUAAUAUUCUCAAAGGACUGAAAUGUAUUCAAAAUUCAUGUAGAAUGGCAUUUUUCUGAAAUGUAUUCCAAAUUCUCUAAAGGCAUUUUUCAAGCAGAUGUCAGUUUCAUGAAUAAUGUAUGAAGUUAUCAUGUGAUUCCAAGCUUGCCUAUGUUUGAAAUUAUCUUAUCUUCGAUUUAGGGAUCUUAAAUUUCACUCUAGGCAGUCCCUUUCCUCAAAAAUCAUCAGCAGUUCCUUUUUAAAAACAACGAUCUUCCUGCUUAUCUAGCUAAGAACUCACCAACAUCCAAAACUACUUCUCUCUAGAGUUUUGUUUAGAUUUUCUUUAGAGUUUUGUUUAAAUUACACUAAGUAACUUUUUAAUCCACCACUUUUCCUUUAUUAUCCUUUUUUUUAAUUUGUUUGGUUUUAUAUUUUAAAUAGAAUUUAUGUUUAAAACUUAUGCAUCAGUAGGUUUGUUACAAAUCAAGAAUGAGAGAGGGUGUAUAGGUCUUAGUUCAGCAUUCUUUUUAAUGAUUAAUAGGUAUGAGUCUGUUUUAGUCUUAUGCAUCAUUUUAAUGUUGAUGUAGUCCUUUCUUAUUUACAAUAGUCUUUCUUUACAUUAUCUUGAUUCCAUACAUCAACUCCAACUCUCUUUUAUUUAUAAGAAGUUUGUAUAUAUAUAUUGAACACUUUACUUUUAUUUUGCAGAUGAAUAAUGAUGAUAUCAAUGAAGAAUUUGAAGAUUUGAAAGCACAAGAUGAAAAGAUAUAUAUAUAUAUAUAUAUAUAUAUAUUUUAAAGAUGUUAAUUGUGAUCAAAGAUAAUCUUAAUCUAUUCAUUAAAGAUUAACAAAAUAAUAUAUUUUUAUAUAUAUUUAACAAGUAUUUCAUUUUGUUAUAUAGUUGUUUAAUUCGAGAUAUUACAUGUAAAAAAUUGCAUGAAUAUUAUUGUUUAAGUUAAUUUAUAAUUAU
rnacentral:lncRNA from 1 species